AACGUUCGUCCUUUAGGUUUUCUCCUGGCGCAUGGGCGCCGCCAAUCAUUUCGGGGCUUAUUUUGGUUCUAAAGCCCGGGGCAGCCAGGCCUCCCUGCCUGGCCUCGGCGGGGACGCGGGACCUGGGGCCCCGGACCGGGCCUAACCGCCCUGGCCGGUCCCCACUGAUGGUGGCGGUCGGUCCUGAUCGUCCUGAUGGCAGCGACCAGGCUGGACUCGGGCUGUGCAGGGGCGAGGGGAGCAGGGCGGGGUGACGCCCGGAGAGCGGCCUGGAGAGCGCGUGCUUCAGAAGGCGUGGGCACCCUGUCCCCUUUGCAGAUGGGGAUGCAGGCCCUGGUGGCGGUGGAGGGGAGAUGGGGGCAGGGACGUUGCCGGGCAGAGGAAGCUGGAAGUUUGGCUGCUGUAACUGACUGGGAAGCUUAAAAUAACAGACAAUCAUCUCUCACAUUUAUGGGGACUGGGAAGUCCAAGACCAAGUUGCCAUCUGGGGAGGGCCUGUUCCUCACAGCGCCUUCCAGCUCAGGCCUCGUUUAUAAGGGCACUCAAGCCUUCCACGACAACGGGUCCUCAUGACUUACUCACCUCGGAAAGCCCCACCCCCAAGACCAUCACAUUGUGGGUGAUGGCAGAGCAUAAGGUGCCUUCCCCACAUGCUCGGGUUGGCCCAGCGUCUCACGCUAGCAGCUACGUGGAAUAGUUAUUUUUUCUGGAGAACUCUGGGACCCCUCUGAUGUCUUGGAGCACCCACACAGGCCGUUCACUGUGCACGCUGUGAGGCUGUCGUCUUGGAGCACCCACACAGGCCGUUCACUGUGCACGUGGUGAGGCUGUCCUCUGGGGAGUUCUGCUGUUGUAUGGGUUCUGUCUGUGUCAAUGUCCCAGCGGGAACGCAGGGCACACUAGCGUCAUCCCCAGAGGGCUUGGUAAGGGGACUGUUUGCAGAGACAUAGGCAGAGGGCUGGAAAACUACCAAAAAAGUGCAGUGUUCUGGACCUAAUAAUAGCAGAGCUAUUCUCACCCUGGUCUGAAGGCAGGAGGGGAGGAGCAGUUAAUGGAUUCUGGAAGUCAGGUUGCACAGAGUCACCUUGAAAGAUGCCAUGACCUUCACCGAGGGCCAGACAGAGACUAAGAUGACCCCAUAGGAGAAUAAGACCUAGACCUCAUCCUCCUGCCUCCUGCCAGUCCCUGCCAGGGGUCGCCAAUGGCAAAACAGGACUGGAAGCCAGAGGCCAUGGAAGCCCAUGGAUGAAGUCCACAGGCCAGCCUCCCCGAGAGCAGCCUGGACGGUCCGCAGGAGACGUCUCCUGUCUUAGGCGUCCCACGCCGCGUGCUCCUGUUCAGCCCUGCCGAGGUGGAAGCUUGGAGUGGCUCACGGUGGAUGCAUUGACGCUGCAGACGCCAGCAAGUGCUACAAACCAGAGCUGGCCUUUAACUCAGACUGAUGGAGAAGGUGUUAAUAAUGCAGAUUAGACUUAAAAGUGUUGAAGCCAUUGCACUGUGAACAGCAAAAAAAUUGAAGAACUCUUCUGGCAUUUAAAAACAAUUACUCAGUUCAGCAGAGAAGUCACUGACAAACGAGAUCACACUGACUGCUUUGUCGUUUUGGUUUUGUCUUACUCAUUAAUGCAAAUAAGAACAUUCACUAGCAUCUGUGUCGGGCCUACCCUCCCUGGUCAAAUACAGCUACAGUCUCCCUGCAGAAACGAGUUUUCCAGAAAUGAGCCGAUGUUUUCUGCGAGAAUCAAUUGGUCAUAUACAAUUUACAAAAAUGAGUACUGUAUACUAUAUUUGUAAACUGUACACUGCAGAUGCUUUAUUUCACUGAAAUUUAUAAUACACUUAUCCAUGU
rnacentral:lncRNA from 1 species